rnacentral:rRNA from 1 species
AUGGAGAAGAGUGCGGAGUGCACAAGAGACGAGGCCACCGCCUGCUCUCGAAGUCCAUGUCCCUGUCCAGUACCAAUCGUGCACAGAAUCGCCGCGCUGUACUGCAAGCUCGGCGCCCCUACGGGUGCACGGCGCCUCAUCGAGGGAGCGUCGCGGGGUGAAGCGGAAGGAGGCUGCAAGAAGGUGCUCCAGCUGCACGAGGAGAUACCCGCGGCAUCCAGCAGGCAUUUUAUAUACCAGGAAUCCUGUCCUCAUAAUCUAACGCGUUUUCAGCCAAAAAGGGAAGAAAUUCUAAAGCAUUUUGCAGACAAGAACAGCGAGGCCAGCUCCAGCAAUAUGAGCCUGAACUCUGAAGAAGGUUUGAUGUGCAAAGAUAUAUCGCACUCGUCGCAAUCUAGUGCCCCUUCCCUGGCCCAUCCCCUGAGCCCAUGCCGCUACCAGUGCGUCUCCACGCUCAGACGCCACUCCUCCUACGUCUCUGGCCUCGCCGUCGACGGCAUCUCGCUCUACGUCUCCUCGUCGGACGGACACAUCAGGCUGUGGCCACUGGACAUGAGCAGCACGACCGUGCAACACGAGGGCUCUGUUGUUGCCGCCACCAAUAGCUCCAUAAAGUGCCUCAUGGCCACCAGCGAUGGUCUCGUCAGCGCCCACCAGGACGGCAAGAUCAGGGUGUGGCAGCAGGCCGGCCGGCGGAAAGGCGGGAGCAGCCACCUCGCCCUCCACGGCGUGCUGCCGACCACCGCGGACUGCCUGCGCACGUUCCUGUUCCCCAAGAACUACGUCGACGUCCGGCGGCACAGGAGCCGCACCUGGGUGCACCACGUGGACGCGGUCACCGCGCUCGCGCUGUCCCCGGACGGCGGGUACAUGUACUCCGUGUCCUGGGACCGGAGCCUCAAGGUGUGGCGCCUUCCCAGCCUCCGCUGCGUGGAGUCCAUCACCCCGGCCCACAACGACGCCAUCAACGCCGUCGCCGUGUCGUCGGACGGGCACGUCUACACCGGGUCGGCGGACCGGACGAUCAAGGCGUGGAGGCGCCACCCGGGGCAGAAGAGGCUCGCGCUGGUCGGCACCAUGGAGCGGCACAGGUCGGCGGUGAACGCGCUGGCGAUGGGCGUCGGCGGGCUGGUUCUCUACUCCGGCUCGUGCGACCGGUCCGUCGUCGUGUGGGAGGGCUUCGACGCCGGAGGCGCGGCGUCCACCAGGACUCUCAGGGGGCACGCUGAGGCGGUGCUGUGCCUGGCCGCCGCCGGCGAUGUGGCGUGCAGCGGGUCCGCGGACAGGACGGUGAGGGUGUGGCGACGGGGAGCGGAAGGCGAGUACUCCUGCUCGGCCGUCCUGGACGGCCAUGGCGCGGCCGUGAAGAGCCUGGCAUUGGUGUUGACGGGAGGCGACCACGGCAGCGAGUGCGAGGAGAGCCCGCGCGGUGGCUGCUCCGCGCUGAUUUGCAGCGGUUCGUUGGACUGCAAUGUGAAGAUUUGGAGGGUGACUUGA